AUGAGACUGAAACAAGAUUAAUCAUUUUCUUUCCAGUACUUAAUGUUGAGUGGUGUUUUGUAUAGCCACAUGCCACAUGCCACAUGCCACAUACCAUUUGCCUGCCUGUUAUAUUUAUAGUCAACAGAUUAUAUCAUUUCUUGAGACCAAAGAAAGUCCAAAUCAGAUACAAAUUAAAGAGAAAGGCAUUAAUCUAAGGGUCCGAUUGGUAAUUGCUGUAGCUUUAAAUAUUUUGCUGUAGAAAAAAAUCUGUAGACUUUUGGCUGUGGCUUUAGAUUUUAUUGCUGUAGAAUUUUAUUGAAGCACUAAAAAAUUGCUUUGGAUAUUUGGCUCUGCAGAGCACUUGUACAACUGUAGGUUAUUUUAAGAGCUGUGGUUUCAAAAAAAAAAUUAAAGCUUGAUUGCUCUGAAUUUGGUGCUGUAGAAAUAAAUAGGGCUGUGGACAGCACCUACAGCAACUACCAAUCAUCCCCUAAAUUAAUAAUUUUAGUCGAAAGAUAACGCCCAACACUUUCUUUGAAAUUUAUAACUUUGCUAAAAUGAUAUUUACAAGCUAAAUUAUUCAUCUAUGAAUAAUAUCAUUUCAAUGUUUCUUCAUCUUUUAGUCUUUGAAGGAUCCAAACAGGUUCUGGAUAAAAAUGUACACAUUUCCACAUCGAACUGUGGUUUUCAUAGUCAUAAACUGUGUUCCAGUUGUAGCAAUAAAUUCUAUUAGAAAUAUUUUACUUUGAGCCAAAAGUUUUCAGUAUUUUUAAUAAAAUUUCAGACGUGUUUUAGACCUAUUAACUAUUUGAAAGCAAUUUUUUAGGCUAAGUUUUAUUUUAUCUUUGGAAAAGCAAAUCAGAAAUCAGCAGACAGAAGAUUGCAAACUCAUGUAUCUCUUGCUUUAAUUUGAGUUCAAUACAUGAGUCUCAGACGUGUUUUAGACCUAUUACCUAUUUGAAAGCAAUUGCUUAGGCUCAACUUUUGUUGGAGAGACUAUCUAUGCUUAGAUCUUAGAAUUUUAAAUCUAUUUUCGAAUUCAAUCAAUUCAUACAAACAUUAAGAUCAAGUUUGAUAAGUUCACUAAAUCCUUAAACUAUUUUUUUAGAAUAGUUAUUUGGCUCAUCUAUGAUUAUCUCAUGUAAUCAAUAACACUAUAAUAUCUACCAAUUAUCCUAAAAUCUAAAUGUCAGGUUGUCAAUCCAUAUAUAGCAUUAAGAAUAAUCUAGAUGAAGAAUUUAAUCAAUAACCCUAGCAGUUGCUUGAUUUGAGCAUUGUGAUUUGAGUUAUAGAACUAUUCUUUAUAAACUAUUACCAUCUGUUUAUUUGUAAUUAUGAUUCACAUGAGAGUUUUCCUAGGUCUAGUGCUUUCUUCCAUCACUUACAACUAUAUAAUUUAUUGUCUUUUAUUGCCAACAUCUUAGCCAAAAUUACGCAUGUGCUUUACAUGAGCUUAGUUUUUAUUAGUUUUUCUAUUCCGAUUUGGAUUUUAAGACCGCUUUUAGUUUUAAUGGUAGAAUAGAUGUUUGUUGUCAGAAAAAACCCUAUGGAUCACCAUAAUUGUUUUCGUGUCGGUUUAAGAUGGUUGGAAUAAACUAAUUCACUUGGAUUGGGAAGGCACAUACAGAUUUUAGAGUGUAGUUGUGAUAUGAAGAAUUUAAUCAAUAACCCUAGCAGUUGCUUGAUUUGAGCAUUGUGAUUUGAGUUCUAGAACUAUCUUCUUAUUACAUAAAGUAGACUUUGUCUCUCUUUUUAGAGAGACACGUCAUCAAAUAAAGAGAAGAGAGCCUGACACGUGGCAAUCUAACUUAAACGAUUGAUCACGUUUUGCUAAUGGACUUUCCCCGAAUAUUAGCUUAUAGAAUCUGAGAGCCCAAACUAGACAAAAGAGAGGACCAUAUCGCCAUUUUCUUCUGCAUUCCUCACAGCUUUAGGGUUCUAUGAAUAUCCGCUUCUGUGACCCAAUGAUUCGUCAGUAAGCUUUCCAUCGGACUCUGUUCAUGACGAUUUAGAUUCGGUUCUACACCUCUGAAGCGUUACAAGUCUCAUUGAUUCAGCAUCAUUAACCCAAACUUAACUCUUCCUCACGAUCUUAAAUUCAAUGAAUCUUAUCCAUCUACCAGUCGGUGAUUCUCACCUAUAAAAAACUUAGUAUUCAUCCAUUAAACAUCAUCCUCACAUUUCCUAAUACUGAGAAAAUUUUUAUUUUCAAUAUUUGAGAGCAUCGAAUUUCUUACCGGUGAUUUGAAACGAAAUGGACUUCCGGCUAUCUAUGGGCCCACAACAAGCCAUCCUGGAUUGGCACCUGAAUCCCGUCAACCCGACCCGUUUCCUGAACGCCGUGGAGUGAUUUAGUCAGCUUCUACGGCUGCUGUUUUGUCGUCUGAGUCAUCAUAUUCGGUACGUCCUUCCUCGUUAUCUCAAAUCAGAGAAGAAACUGAAACGAUCUCCAACGACGGAGGGGAAAUGCGGAGAUAUAGGAUUUGAUGGUGGAUUACAUGCAAUUUGUUUCUUGAGACAGAGAUCGUCGUAGCAGUUGGAGCAACGAUUUAUGGUGGUGGACCUGUCGAGGAAGCCGCAGCUGUUAGAACAGAGACGGUGGCCUUCCCGCGUCUGACAUAAACGUUUCUCCGCCACAGAUCUUGAAAGAAAGUUUGAUUUUUUAAAUAAACAAUCUAGAAAAAGCAAUUGAUUUAAAGAGAUAAUGAAUCUGCAGAAUCUAAAAGAAAGAACAUGACACGAACCGGAAUCUGGUCACAGAGAGAAACACAACGAAAGAAAAACAGCAUAUCGAUUAAUUAAAGUGAAGAAAAUUUUAUUUCGCUUUCUCAACAACUAAACAGGGAUUACAAGAAAAUAAUGAGAUGGAAAGUUUAUUAAAAAGCGAGAAGAUAGAGAAGGAAACAUCUCAUAGAGAAGAGAUAAGAGAUAUCAGAGCGGAAGAGGAGUUGUGUAAACUGAUUCUUGAGAAAAGAAGAAGGAGAGGCUUUAGAAUCGGACCUUAAAAAUGUCUACAAUCGUUCAAUAGUUUAACUGCGCUUUAAAAAUUUCUUUCGUGAAGAUAUUUAAGAAAUCAGAGUAAAAGAAAAUAGUAAAAGGAGGUGAGGUCCACUAAGCAAGCAUCGCCAUUUGAUUCCGACGAGCACCAUGUAACCCAAACAUUUAAAAUUUCAAGAAUUGAUUACUUUUUUACGGGCAAUCAAAAGCUCAAACUUGGACAAACCUUUUACAUAAAAAAUGAAGUCUCACACCCACAACAUUAAAACACAGAUCGUUAAAUCAAAGAUAACGAUUAAUAAUUUAGAGAAGACACAUGUAGUUAACGUGUUUACCAAUGGGUGAAAGAGACGAAGCCUCCUAAAGCAAAACUUUAGGACAUUUUAUUUAAUUGCAAAUAGUGCACAUGGUUAAACCCCAGUUGUUAUGAAAAAAAAAACAUAAUUCCAUUAGGACUGUAAGUGACCAAAGAUCAAUAAAUCCCAACACGACAUGAAGCCCACUACAACUUCACACGUAAACACAAGAGAGCUCCAGCCUUCUGUACCUGCAAAAUUCGGAUUCGGUUAUUUCAGAUCGGGUUCGGAUAUUUAGAUUUUGAAAAAAAAUUAAAAUUUUCAUUUUUCAAGUAUCUUGUAUUUAAAAAUAUAACUUUCUGUUAACUAAUUUUUUAUUUUUAAUAGAUUGAAUGGUUAAUAGAUUUGGACAUAACAUUUUAAAACUAAAAAGACAUUAAUUUAGUUAUUUUUUUAAAAAAAAAUUGGAUGUAACUUUUUGUUAAUUUUUGAAAUAAAAAAUUUGACAUGCAUUUUAAGUGAGUAGCAAAUUAUUUUUUCUGUAAUUGUAUGUAUAUCAUAUGAAUUUAAAGUAUGUGUAGUAUCAAUAUAAAUAUUUUAUAUAAAAUGAGAGAUUUAAACUAGAAAUAUAAGGUUAAUUAUACAUAUGUUCGGUUAUCUUCGGAUAUCCAUUCGGGUUCGGGUAACCAAUCUCUCCUUAUUCAAUACCCGUUCGGGUAUUUUGCUACUUUGGUUUGGAUUUCGGUUCGAGUUUUUCGGAUCGGGUUCGGGUGCCACUUCGGAUAUCGGAUAAAGUGCCCACCCCUAAUAUCAACAAUGGUUGAUCGACUCAAUCCCUACCAAUUUUCUGGUAAUGUUCAUGUCCUCAAUUGCAUUUUCACAAAAGGACACCUACAUAUUACUAUGAUGCCUUUAGUGAAAUCUAAAAUAUAUUUUCCUUUUGCUAAAGGACUUUCGGAAAAAAAUUAUACUUUAAUUAUAUUUAGUCAAUAUAUUUUGGUAUUGUUGUAUUAGUUAGUGUCGGUUCAAAGAAUUAUCCGUAUAUAUUUUAGUCUUCCAUGAGUUAUGCCUGAGAAUCUUCAGAUAUGAUUAUGAGUAAUUUUGUCAUUUUUCAAAUGAGACUGAAACAAGAUUAAUCAUUUUCUUUCCAGUACUUAAUGUUGAGUGGUGUUUUGUAUAGCCACAUGCCACAUGCCACAUGCCACAUACCAUUUGCCUGCCUGUUAUAUUUAUAGUCAACAGAUUAUAUCAUUUCUUGAGACCAAAGAAAGUCCAAAUCAGAUACAAAUUAAAGAGAAAGGCAUUAAUCUAAGGGUCCGAUUGGUAAUUGCUGUAGCUUUAAAUAUUUUGCUGUAGAAAAAAAUCUGUAGACUUUUGGCUGUGGCUUUAGAUUUUAUUGCUGUAGAAUUUUAUUGAAGCACUAAAAAAUUGCUUUGGAUAUUUGGCUCUGCAGAGCACUUGUACAACUGUAGGUUAUUUUAAGAGCUGUGGUUUCAAAAAAAAAAUUAAAGCUUGAUUGCUCUG
rnacentral:lncRNA from 1 species